GAUCUCGUCAAGCAUCGCUGCACCGCCUCAGGCUUAUUGAAGAAUUGGGUAGGGAACACCGAAAGAAUGUUUCAUUCGCACUCACGGGAAGAAGGAUGACACUCUCGAGGGUGAGCGUGCUACACAAAUUGUUGAACAAUUUGAUAAAGCCAUUGCAGAUAAGCGUGAUCAAGGAGAAGAUGAGAAUUCUAUCAACCAAAAUGAAUUGUGGGACCGCAUUGCUGUUGGAAGUCGUAAUAGAGUGUUGGGAAAGGG